rnacentral:rRNA from 1 species
CACACGACUCUCGGCAACGGAUAUCUCGGCUCUUGCAUCGAUGAANAANGUAGCGAAAUGCGAUACCUGGUGUGAAUUGCAGAAUCCCGUGAACCAUCGAGUCUUUGAACGCAAGUUGCGCCCGAGGCCACUCGGUCGAGGGCACGCCUGCUUGGGCGUCACGC